AAGUGUCAAAUGAUGUUGUACAAAGGUAUCGAGGGCGAAAGUACUAUCCAACACAAAAUGUUUUAGCAGCAUGUUCCUUUGACUUGAAGUUCACAUAUGUUUUACCUGGUUGGGAAGGAUCUGCGUCAAACUCGAGAAUCCUAGAUAAUGCAUUAAUGAGAGAUUUUGAUAAAUUGAUUGUUCCACAAGAUGGAACAUAGUGAAGGCUUUGAAGUACACAAAAGUGUAAGUGAAAAAAGAAACUUGACUUGGAUUGAUGAAAUGGACAACUUUUUGGUUGAUCGAUUAAUGGAGCAAAUGCAUAAAGGGCAAAAGAUAGGAGGAGUCUUCACCAAGACAGCUUAUGCAAUGGUUGCGCGAGAAAUUGGGGAAAAUUUUGAAUUGAGUUGUAACUCUGAGCACAUAAAAAAUAGAAUGAAAACUUUAAAAAAAAACUUUUAUGCUGCUCAAGAAGUUUUACAAAAUGGUAGUGGAUUUGGUUUCAAUGAAUCAACUCAAAUGAUCGAAGCUACCACGGAAGUAUGGACUACUUACACUAAGGCACACCCAGGAGCAUCUCAGCUCAGACACAAACCUAUUAGAAAUUAUGAUAAGUUGUCCAUUCUUCUUGGAAAAGAUCGAGCAACAGGAAGUCUUGCUGCAGGUGCAAAAGAAAGACAACUUCGUUGGGCCCAGGAACAAAAUUUGGAUGACACAAUUCCAUUAGGAUCAUCACAACAUGGGAUUAGAGAUG